rnacentral:rRNA from 1 species
UACGAAGGGGGCUAGCGUUGCUCGGAAUCACUGGGCGUAAAGCGCACGUAGGCGGCUUUUUAAGUCAGGGGUGAAAUCCUGGAGCUCAACUCCAGAACUGCCUUUGAUACUGAGAAGCUUGAGUCCGGGAGAGGUGAGUGGAACUGCGAGUGUAGAGGUAAAAUUCGUAGAUAUUCGCAAGAACACCAGUGGCGAAGGCGGCUCACUGGCCCGGUACUGACGCUGGGGUGCGAAAGCGUGGGGAGCAAACAGG